UUUGGCAGUCCAACUUUAGUAUACUAAAGUUGGAACAAUAGAGAGAAUAUUAGCCCCUGCACAAGAAUAACAUGCAAACUCAUGAAAUAUUAAAAUAAUAU
rnacentral:snRNA from 1 species